GGAUCCAGACUUUGAUCAUGGCUCAGGACGAACGCUGGCGGCGUGCCUAACACAUGCAAGUCGAACGGAGAUAAAGAUUUCGGUUUUUAUCUUAGUGGCGCACGGGUGAGUAACACGUGAAUAACCUGACCCAAAGAGGGGGAUAACACCUGGAAACAGGUGCUAAUACCGCAUAAGACCACAAUGUCGCAUGACGAAGGGGUCAAAGAAAAUCGCUUUGGGAGGGGUUCGCGUCCCAUUAGGUAGUAGGUGGGGUAACGGCCCACCUAGCCGACGAUGGGUAGCCGAGCUGAGAGGCUGAUCGGCCACACUGGAACUGAGACACGGUCCAGACUCCUACGGGAGGCAGCAGUGGGGAAUAUUGGGCAAUGGGCGCAAGCCUGACCCAGCAACGCCGCGUGAGGGAAGAAGGUUUUCGGAUUGUAAACCUCUGUCGCAGAAGACGAAGGAAGUGACGGUAUUCUGUGAGGAAGCCCCGGCUAACUACGUGCCAGCAGCCGCGGUAAUACGUAGGGGGCGAGCGUUGUCCGGAAUUACUGGGCGUAAAGGGAGCGUAGGCGGUCUGAUAAGUUGGAUGUGAAAUACCCGGGCUUAACUUGGGGGGUGCAUCCAAUACUGUUGGACUAGAGUACAGGAGAGGAAAGCGGAAUUCCUAGUGUAGCGGUGAAAUGCAUAGAUAUUAGGAGGAACAUCGGUGGCGAAGGCGGCUUUCUGGACUGCAACUGACGCUGAGGCUCGAAAGCGUGGGGAGCAAACAGGAUUAGAUACCCUGGUAGUCCACGCUGUAAACGAUGAAUACUAGGUGUAGGGGGUAUAAACUCCCUCUGUGCCGCAGCAAACGCAAUAAGUAUUCCGCCUGGGGAGUACGGCCGCAAGGUUGCAACUCAAAUGAAUUGACGG
rnacentral:rRNA from 1 species